rnacentral:lncRNA from 1 species
AGUAAAUCCUGUAAAUAAGUAUGCAUAGAUUAUGUUUAAGUUCUGAGCCUUUCACUGUUACCAAACUAAACAAAUAGCAGUGUGGUUUGUCUAAAUAAUACAGUGAGACAGUUGUAUUGCGUGAUUUAAACUCUUGUUUGGAUUACUAUGCACUGAUUGUAGUAGGGAAUUUGCUAGGCAUUGUGCAAGGUUUGGUAGAUUCAGGAAGUUGCAUAAAUGUUUACUUGUCACAUCGUCAUCAUGGGAAUUUACUGGACCAAGCCGGUUUACUCACAUCCAUCCAGUAUUUAAGAGACGGUACCACAGAUGCCUUAGUAAAUACAGACUGUGACAUUGUAAUAACUGGACAAGACAUCUAUUCAAGGAUGAAGACAUUACGUGCAAUGCUACUGAUGCUGUUUGUUGCAUCAGUCUUUUCAAAACCAUUUGGUUUGCGCAGAAGAUUUGAUUCAUCGGACUCUGUGCGAUCUAGAUUCAGUUCAGAGGGAAAUGAUUCACAGUCUGAUGAGAAUUCUGAAUCAAACGGGUGUAAAUCAAGUGAUUCUGAAUCUUCGGAGGAAGUUAUCAGCGUUGUGUCAAGCACAUUCCCUCCAGCUAGCACAACAAGUCCAUUGACUGCUGGCAAGACAACAACAACACCACCAGCUACCACAACACAAGCCAUCACACAAUGUGUUACUGAAAGAAGGGGUGAUAAUAGUGUUGUUAUAAUAUCUUGUAGUACUUCUCCAUAA